rnacentral:sRNA from 1 species
GUUUUGCUUUUGCAAAACUACAUACAAUAAUGCGAUGUUUUGUGCUUUGCACAAAACUCGAAGAUAAACAGUGAGGUAGUAUUUCUACCGAGCUGUUUAUCAUAA